AAGAAGAAGAAAAAAUUAUAUAUCUUCAGAUCAUCUCUCUUUUUACAUCCUCGCAUGAAGGCGCAUCGAAUGAAUUAUUUCUUAUAACCGUACGAGUUGAUUGCUGGAAAAGAGAAGAGAAGGAUCAAUUAUUAAAAAAAAGAAGAGGAUCGAGAGGAUUUGUCGCAUACCAUCGUAUUCCUUGUCGCAUAAUAAUAACAAUUCCAACCAUUGUGGCCCCGUUACACGAGGAAGUUGCAAGUUUCCACCGUAGCAGGCUGGCAAACAUUUGGGGGAGAUGUAUUGGUGCAACGAUUUCCGAUCAUUGCCGUGGAAGAUCAGCUGCGA